GAAUUGAUGAAGAGUCUAAAACCUUUCCAAUACUUUCCCCUAUUUGACAGCUCUGUAUCGUCAUUUCAUUUCCCCACAUCAUCCCGCCAAUUCUGAGUGAUUACAAAUACGUGCGGCGGCGGCGGCGGCGGCGCUUGGACGAGCGGGUGACGAUUGGUUUACCGGCGAACUAGUAAUUUGUUGGAUUUUGUGGUGAAGAACUCAAUACAGAAACUAAGCGACACGGUUGAACGAAAAAUGGAGCUAGGAGAUAUUCUCGACCUCUCGUAUCAGGAUUUGUCUUAUUAUACUGAUAACUUUUCCGAGAGCAACUACCUCGGCCAUUUCCAAUUUGGCAAACUCUAUCGUGGGAAGAUUGUGCAUGCUGAAUCGACUCGUUAUGUGAUGGUGAAGAUAUGGGAAGUUUCAGAAGUCUACACUUGCAUACCUGGAUACAAUGAAAUUAGAUUAAUGGUAUGUUAUCCCUACCAUAUAACAUUUCAAAUACUUAUAUAUCUACGAUUCCCGAUAUCUGAUAUACUUUCUUUUACAGGAUGAAGUCACUUUACUUCGCCACCGUAUGAUGGUUAAUCAUCCGAACUUGGUAAAGUUGUACGGAUACUGUUAUGAAGGUGGUCACCUUGGUGUUGUUUAUGAUUUCAAGCCAUUUGACUCGGUUUUUAACCUCAUUCCUAAAGAUGAUUUCACUUGGCUGCAAAGAAUCAAAGUCUCCCUGCAAUUUGCUUCCCUCCUAAAGUUUCUGCACGGUUUAAAGUGUCCAUCACGUUUCAUAGUUCAAAAUCUUGACUGUGCUCAUAUAGUGCUCAACGAGGUGUGUUCCAAGCAUUUCAUUCCCAUAAUUGAACAUCCUAUAUAGCAAAUGAAUGUAACAGUUAUUCAUUUAAUUUCUGUUGCAGGAUUAUAAUCCAAAAUUAUGUGAUUUUGGUCUCAUCACCGGUGGGAUUUUUCCCGACAAGGCCAAAUGUAACCACCAUCAUUUGAUUGGAUGCAAUGGCUACGUUGAUCUCGCGACACAAAAAAAUGAUAGUAGUUCAGAUAAGCAAGAUGUGUUUGCAUUUGGUACUAUACUUCUGAGUUUGAUUUCAAAGAGAGUUUACACUGAAGAAGACAGGUCAAAUUCUGCACCGUAUGUUUGCCAAUGGGCCUACGAGAAGUUUAUCGAAUAUGAACACAAUUCAGACACCGGCACGAAAAAGCCCAAGUUUACGGUCGUCCACCAAAGUCUAGAAGCCGAUCCUUAUUUUGAACCUUCCGAUGGGCAUAAGAUCACUGCACUGGCAUUGAAAUGCGUAGUUGAUGAUUUUUUUACGCGCCCAACAAUGAAGCAAGUUCUGAAAUCUCUGCUCAAUCUCAAAGCCGUGAAGAAGAAUGCUGAUUUUGUUGGAACGACUAAGAUUGCGUGAAAAUAUUUGUAUAGCAACUGUGUGCGGAUCGAAAUGUCCAGCUGCGUAAAUAUUGCAAAAGGUAUAUCCUAUUAUCUGUGAAGAAUCUUUGCACAGUGAUUACUCAGAAUCUUGUUGGCUGUUAUGCAGUUUACUUCUGAAUUAGAAAUCUACCUUAUGCAGGUGAUGAUUUUUUUCUUUUUUUACAAUUUCAAGUUUCUUUCAUAAGGGCAAAUUAGUCAUUGUAUGUAAGUCAACAACGAAUUUUGAAGAAAUGGGCAGUGUGCUCAGUAGAAAAUAAUAUAGGGGAGUUGUGCUAAUUGUUUUUUUAACACAAGGCCUUUUUUAGCAAUUCGAGAUUAUACAUGUGA